rnacentral:lncRNA from 1 species
UAUUGUUGAACAAAAUCCUAAAAAUUUCAUCAUUACUAUCUCUCCCCUCUUCCCCUUUAUAAUUACAAUUUCACCAUCACAUUCUCCCCUUUCCUGUUUAUAAUUACAGCAGGAGAAAGAAGUUUUCAUUACAGGAGAAAAUGGCUACUGGCCGAAAUCCUUACCGGAGAACCGGGCAAUUGAUUUCUGAGCACCGCCGCCGUCUCCGAUGGCAACUUGUCUCCAGUCAUCUCUCACAAAGGACAAAGUUGUAACGGGUUUCCUUGAACAUUCACCUGAAGUCCAGG